AGCCCGCAGCCGGGUCCUUCUGGCCCGGGGGCCGCGGGGCGGGGAGCGCCGGCACAGCCCAGGGCCCCGGAGCGGCUUCCACGCGGGGAGCCUCGGCUGCUCUCAGAUUGUGUCUUGGGAGAAAUCCGGAUACAUUCAGAGAAGCUGAGAAACGAACACGCCCCAUUGUAAAUAUCAGGACCUUCUGUGAGUGAUCCGGGGCCCACUGCUGAGUCAGAUUAGACCCCAGCACAAGGUUAAAAAAAAAAAAACCAAAACAGCCUCCAAUACCAUCUUCAUGGGAACCAGUGCUCCAUGCAGCACACACUUUCAAGUCUCCUUUGGCUGCUGUGGGAAGGCGCUGUCUGCAGGAGCAUGCUGCCUUGUGUCAUGUCAGGGAUGUUGCUGCAGAUCUUUGUGAACUUUUUCCACUGGGUAGAAAACAUCUGAUGACAAAUUACAUGAACAUUGAAUCUAUGGAUAGAAUAUACAUUGAUUCCAUCUUAUGGGAAUUAAAUAUUGCAUAUAUGUGCAUUAGACACGAUUCUGUCCCACCAGUUCAUUGACUUGAAAGAGAGGUCCACAGCCUCUGUGUGAUAACUGAAAGGCUUGCCACCUGUAUUGAUCAAAGAAGAAAUUUUGCUAGUGCAUUAAAUGAAGAUUAUGUUCAAGCACAUGGGGCAUAAGGGGAUGGUGAGGGUGGUGCACUUGCCACCUGCCCUGAGUCUGCAGGCACCAUCUCCAGCUGUAGGCUGCAUGACCUAUAGCUUCUAGGUCCCCAGAUACCCGGGGAGGGUUCCAGAACCUUUGUGCUUGUGAAUCCUUCCAAAAAACGGCGGCCCUACAGACUCAUUCCAGUGAUCAGCUCCAGUGGUAUGAGAUUCUGUGGCAGUGUCAGUUGUUCUGUCAUCAAACAUUCUGCAAGGGAAUAAAGCACACCGCUGACCCUACCAGUCACCCCAGAUCUACAGGAAUUGUGGCAUCUGCUCUCUGAAAUCCUGGCAUAUUCCUAUCCUGGAGCAACUCACAGACACUUGUUCAUCAACCUAAGCAGGCCCAUGAGAGAAGAGCAGAGCCAAGCACCUCUGCCCCUGCCGCAGGGCUCUGCCUGAAGCUUGCUAUUGCCUUGGCUCCAAGGACACCAUCCCGUAUCUAUUUAGGAUCUUCCUGGGCAGGAUGAGUAAUCAAUGCAGAAUCAGAAUGGUUAGGAAAGGAAAAAUCAAUGUAUUACCUUAUGCAGUAUGGGCUUUAUGGUAACAUGGAAGUUCAUUGGGUGAAAAUUCCCUUGACAGAGAUGAUGCUACAUGUUGUGCUGAAGGGGGCCCCUUAAACAUAGGCACCCCAGUAACUUCAUUCCUGCAAAAAAAAAAGUUAGUUUAGGAAGUCAUAAUAAAGGACCCCAAACAAAUCCAUGCUGUUUACCCCUGAUUAGUAAUUCAAAACGCCUCAGGUAGAGACUAACAUGAAAAACCUCUCUAGUAAAUGCCGAGGAAAGACUCUAGAUAUGUUUGAAGCUAAAGACUAACAGAAGAUCCUGGUUGCCCAGGUUCUAGCCCUGCAGCUGAUUGAAGGCUUUUUGGCACUAGAGGGAUGACAUGGUCAGGAGCGCACUAGAGAGGUGCCCAGGACUUACUAUGCAGGAGUUCCAUGACCUGGAUACAAACGCCAUCGAGGAGGCCCUGACACAGGCUCCAAGUAGAAUGGGGGAAUGUAAAACUGUCGGCAUUGCUGAGAUUGUCAAAGUUGCAGCAGGUGUUAUGUAAAAAGUGUGUAUUUUUCCUGAUUGUGUUAGGAGGAUGGAAAUUGUGCUUGGCGACCAGUUCCCCAAGCCCGCAUGUUGAAAGAUAAGGCCUGUAAAUCCAGUCCUCAAGAAUUGUUAGUAGGUUGUUUAAUGGGAAGCCCUCAGAUGGCCCGAGCACCACAGUGUGGAGCAGACGCUGGACAGACAAGUGCUGUGUGCAGAGUUCGCGCACGGCACGGACAGGGGACAAUGCAGGAGCCCAUGAGUGUGUCCCGGUGAACACACCAGGGCUCUGGACAGCAGCCUCGACACACCAUGGGCAGGGCAGUGCCCAGCAGAGUUCACCGCAAGUGAAAUGGUCCCUAGAGGCUGGCGCAGCCCGGGGAAAAACCUGAGGAACUCAGGAGGCGGUGCCUCUGGGCCCAGGACUGGCUCUUGCCCCUAGGACAGGGCUCUGUAACGGCUCUCGACUCACCCGCAGAGACACCCGCUUGGUGCUGAGAAGAAGGGACACCCAGGGGUGGGAAGGCCACCACUCUGGGGGAGGAAGUGAAACUCAAAUCCGUGCUCUGGCUGAGUCGCAGCCUGUUUCCCACAGUGAUAGAAGAAUUGAACAGCUGAAAGACCCGCGCUUGGGUUUUACUGACUCCUGGUCGGUGACCCAUGGCCCGAACAUAUGGCAGCAUAGGGCCGGGAAUCCUGGGCUGUUUGGGGUGCCUGUGUGGGGCACGGCCUGAGAAGCCUGCGCUGGUCCACACCCACCUCCAGACAACAGUAAAUGUAACAUUCACACAAACAUGUCACUCUGAGCCGCCGCUCUCGUCCUUCAUGGCAUUGAUGAGGGAAGUUGUCGUUUCAGUCAGAGUGUUUUUGUCUUUUUUUUCCUCCUCUGUGAAGCAUGUCAGUGUACCGCAGGCCCCUCCAGUCUCUUCUUUGUUUCUCUGGAGACUGUGUUCCGUGUGCGUGCACACAUACUGGGGUGGGAGCACAGAAAGGGGAGCGCUGAUGGCAGGAGGCCAUCCUUUCCCUCCCCAGUGUAAAGGCCCUUGCAGACUUUGGGGCUUUUUCACAGUCCCACAGCUUCCUUGCUCCUUAGGGCUUCCUUGCUCCUCAGGCCUCUCAGUUCUGAGUCUGUGUAGUGAGCACCUGCAUCCUGUGAUUGCAAGGCAGAGAUGACAGUGAUAUUAAGGAAGUAAUGAUUGCAUGGGAGGUGGAUGCAUUCAGCACGACAGCUGAGCGUCGAUGCCUUCACAUGCUUAACGCUGAUCAAUACUAUAUAUAAAGAAACAAACUUGGAGCCAUCCAGGUGUGGGUGAGAAUCAGAAUCAGGUGCUGUGGAGGGUGAGGUGCAGGUAUGUCAGGCACAAAGGCAGGUGUGUGGUGUGUACACUGUGUUUCUUCUGUUUCCCUACUUGCUGCAGUGGUCAUAAGCCCCAGGCUGUAACAAGAGGUGGAGGUGAAACGGUAAUUUUUGGUCUGACUCCUUGAUGUUCAUAAUCCAUAAUUCAAGAGCAAGCAAUGUUUUGCAGAACUCAGGUUAAAUCAGGUCUGGGAAACCCGAUAUCAGGGCACACCCUGUCACAAAGGCCACCUCCCCAAAUUGGGGAGAAGCCGGGACUGUUUGGGGGAAUACUAAGGAAGGAGAGUGGUUGAGACUCUGAGUCCAGAGUAUUUCAGGGAAAUGGUCAGGGCUUCCAGGACCUGCAUGCAUGCCCCCUUCUUUCCAUGUUUGGUCUUGACUGGCUCUGUCCUGGGGGAUGUUUUCACCAUGAGAGAGAGGUUGUGGAUUAAUCCGUGUCUGUCUUCUAGCUGCAUAUUGUUUCAGUCCAUGUGUCUGCUUUUCUGUUCUGGUUUUUUGUCCCUGCAAGCAAAGUUAAACAGGAGCAAAGAAACAGGACUACUAGGGCAAGGAGAAGAAACUUCUGGUACCAGAUGGGUGACAGAAGCACAAAACUGUAACUGCUUUUAACCUUAUGUGAAAGUGUUAAGGGCUGAUGGGGUGGAUGAGCCCUCUUCCUAGCUGGAAAGUUGGGCCUAAUUUUGAGUGUAGCUCUAUUGCCUUGAGGGAGGGAAACCCACAGCCUUACCUGUGCGAGCCAGGGGGGCUCGGGGAGGUAUGUGCUGGACUAGCGAUGUCGCCUGCGGUCCAGACCAGCACAGGCUGCGCCCACUGUCCCUCCAGCAGGGUGUCUGGGUAUAAAGGGAGAUUGAAGCCCUGGCCAACCCACCUGUGGGCAAGAGCAGCUGCGUGUGCUGAGCUGUCUUCUGAGCUUGUUUACAUUGAGGCCACAGUUUGUGAUGCUCAGCUGCGAGUCCUCCUGCCUGAACCAAGUGUCCAUGAUAUGGGGACCAACAAGACAGGACAGGAACCACCCAUCCUGCAUUCAGAGCAAAGGGACCAUCCAUCAGGAAUCUCCAGUCAUUUGAGAAGACUCUUCCCCAGGUGGAUUUGGAACUCUUGGAGCCCCUGUCCACGCAACAAGGACCUCCUGCCACACACGCAGCUCUGUGCCCACUGUCCACUUUCCACCCAGCGUGAUUCAACUCUGUCUCCAGAGGUGCUUCCAUAAUGUGAUUCAAGAGCCUUCCCGCCUCCGCAGAGGUAGAUCUGGUCUUGGGCUUCCUACCACUGCAGACCUGCUUCCACAAAGACCUUUCUUUUCCUGAAACCCAGUUGGCAAUCUUUGGCAUUUACGCCAAUCAGGUAGAGGGGCUCCUGAUAUCUGAGAAACAAAAGAAGGAAAAAUCGUAGCUAUGAAUUAAAAAAAAAAUAAUGAUGUCAUGAGAGAAGGUUUACAUUAAGUGAACACCUUGGAAGGGCAGGUGCUGAGAGUGUCUUUCAUCUCCAUUUUCCUGGGGGUGAGCAUCUGGGAGUAUCUGAGGAAGGUGGUGGAUUGUUUCUAAGUCAAUAUCCAGGUUGUGAUACAAACUAUAGUUCUUUAAGAUGUAGCCAUCGGGGAAGCUGGGUGAAGGAUAGCAGGGAUCGCUGCAUUAUUUCCGGAAACUGCACGUAGAACUGCCAUUCUCUUAAUAGUUCAAUUAAAUGAGACCAACCUGAUGGGCUUUCUCUGAGGAAUAAAUGUGGUCAUUUCUUAGGAAGAAAUUCAUUCAACAGAUGUGAAUUGACACGCCAGUGACCUUGUAAAUGUUGUGUUUUUAACAGUCAAUAACAGGCUUCAUGUUCUAAUGCAAUCUUUAAUGCUGAAAUGCCAUCCAAAAUGAGUUAUUUGUCAGUAUUGCCUUAGUAAUGGAUGUGAUUGUAUAUCUCUCGAACAACGCUGUUAACCAAUGUUACCUCUGUUAAAUGAAUGAGUGAAUAAACACACUGCUU